CCUACGUGAGGCAGCAGUGAGGAAUAUUUGUCAAUGGGCGCAAGCCUGAACCAGCCAAGUCGCGUGCGGGAUGAAGGCCCUACGGGUCGUAAACCUCUUUUGCACGGGGAUAACACCCUCCACUUGUGGAGGUCUGCAGGUACCGUGCGAAUAAGGGCCGGCUAACUCCGUGCCAGCAGCCGCGGUAAUACGGAAGGCGCGAGCGUUAUCCGGAGUCAUUGGGUUUAAGGGGAGCGUAGGCGGUAGAUUAAGUCAGCUGUAAAAUCGCGGGGCUCAACCCCGCCCCGCAGUUGAAACUGGUGGCCUUGAGUGAGCAAGAGGCAGGCGGAAUUCGUGGUGUAGCGGUGAAAUGCAUAGAUAUCACGAGGAACCCCGAUUGCGAAGGCAGCAUGUCGGGGUGCGACUGACGCUGAGGCACGAAGGUGCGGGUAUCGAACAGGAUUAGAUACCCUUGUAGUC
rnacentral:rRNA from 1 species